AGUGGCGCACGGGUGAGUAACGCGUAGGUAACCUGCCAUGAGGUUCGGGAUAGCCGUACGAAAGUAUGAUUAAUACCGGAUGUGCUCUUUUGAGUAAAGAUUUAUCGCCUUAUGAUGGGCCUGCGUUAGAUUAGCUUGUUGGUAAGGUAACGGCUUACCAAGGCAACGAUCUAUAGCCGGGUUGAGAGACCGACCGGCCACAUUGGAACUGAGACACGGUCCAGACUCCUACGGGAGGCAGCAGCUAAGAAUCUUCCGCAAUGGACGAAGGUCUGACGGAGCGACGCCGCGUGAAUGAUGAAGGCCUUAUGGGUUGUAAAAUUCUUUUAUAGAGGACGAAUGUAUGGUGUAGGCCAUGUUGACGGUACUCUAUGAAUAAGGUCCGGCUAACUACGUGCCAGCAGCCGCGGUAAUACGUAGGGACCGAGCGUUGUUCGGAAUUAUUGGGCGUAAAGGGUACGUAGGCGGUCUAAUAAGUCAGAUGUGAAAACCUCGGGCUCAACCUGAGGCCUGCGUCUGAUACUGUUAGGCUAGAGUUAUGGAGAGGAAGGCGGAAUUCCUGGUGUAGGGGUGAAAUCUAUAGAUAUCAGGAAGAACAUCGGUAGCGAAGGCUGCCUUCUGGACAUAAACUGACGCUGAUGUACGAAAGUUAGGGUAGCAAACAGGAUUAGAGACCCUGGUAGUCCUAACUGUAAACGUUGUAUACUAGGUGGUGGCAUUUUGAUCGUGUCACUGCCGUAGCUAACGCAUUAAGUAUACCGCCUGGGGAGUAUGCCGGCAACGGUGAAACUCAAAGGAAUUGACGGGGGCCCGCACAAGCAGUGGAGCAUGUUGUUUAAUUCGAUGAUACGCGAGGAACCUUACCAGGUCUUGACAUAUACCUGAAUGUUGUAGAAAUACAUCAGCCUUCGGGCAGGUAUACAGGUGCUGCAUGGUUGUCGUCAGCUCGUGCCGUGAGGUGUUGGGUUAAGUCCCGCAACGAGCGCAACCCUUAUUCUUUGUUGCUAACAGGUUAAGCUGAGCACUCUAAGGAGACUGCCGGUGACAAACCGGAGGAAGGUGGGGAUGACGUCAAAUCAUCACGGCCCUUAUGACCUGGGCUACAAACGUGCUACAAUGGGCGGCACAAAGAGUUGCGAUACCGCGAGGGUGAGCUAAUCUCAAAAAACCGUCCUCAGUUCGGAUUGGAGUCUGAAACUCGACUCCAUGAAGCUGGAAUUGCUAGUAAUCGCAUAUCAGCCAUGAUGCGGUGAAUACGUUCCCGGGCCUUGUACACACCGCCCGUCACAUCACCCGAAUUGGUUAUACCCGACGUGGCCGAGCUAACCCCUUUUGGGGAGGCAGGUUCCUAAGGUAUGGUUGGUAAGGGGGAUGAAGUC
rnacentral:rRNA from 1 species